rnacentral:rRNA from 1 species
AGAGUUUGAUCCUGGCUCAGGACGAACGCUGGCGGCGUGCCUAAUACAUGCAAGUAGAACGCUGAAGAGAGGAGCUUGCUCUUCUUGGAUGAGUUGCGAACGGGUGAGUAACGCGUAGGUAACCUGCCUUGUAGCGGGGGAUAACUAUUGGAAACGAUAGCUAAUACCGCAUAACAAUGGAUGACUCAUGUCAUUUAUUUGAAAGGGGCAAAUGCUCCACUACAAGAUGGACCUGCGUUGUAUUAGCUAGUAGGUGAGGUAACGGCUCACCUAGGCGACGAUACAUAGCCGACCUGAGAGGGUGAUCGGCCACACUGGGACUGAGACACGGCCCAGACUCCUACGGGAGGCAGCAGUAGGGAAUCUUCGGCAAUGGGGGCAACCCUGACCGAGCAACGCCGCGUGAGUGAAGAAGGUUUUCGGAUCGUAAAGCUCUGUUGUAAGUCAAGAACGAGUGUGAGAGUGGAAAGUUCACACUGUGACGGUAGCUUACCAGAAAGGGACGGCUAACUACGUGCCAGCAGCCGCGGUAAUACGUAGGUCCCGAGCGUUGUCCGGAUUUAUUGGGCGUAAAGCGAGCGCAGGCGGUUUGAUAAGUCUGAAGUUAAAGGCUGUGGCUCAACCAUAGUUCGCUUUGGAAACUGUCAAACUUGAGUGCAGAAGGGGAGAGUGGAAUUCCAUGUGUAGCGGUGAAAUGCGUAGAUAUAUGGAGGAACACCGGUGGCGAAAGCGGCUCUCUGGUCUGUAACUGACGCUGAGGCUCGAAAGCGUGGGGAGCGAACAGGAUUAGAUACCCUGGUAGUCCACGCCGUAAACGAUGAGUGCUAGGUGUUGGCCAGAGAUGGUCGGUGCCGCAGCAAACGCAAUAAGCACUCCACCUGGGGAGUACGACCGCAAGGUUGAAACUCAAAGGAAUUGACGGGGACCCGCACAAGCGGUGGAGCAUGUGGUUUAA